AGGCAAUCUUCUACAUUAAAAUCACACGUGUAUGCAUUGUAUGUGUCAGUUAUACACACUCCAGGAAAGAGACCCAAAAGGGAAGAUUAAGACUAACACAGUCUGUACAGAUCAGAAAGCUAUCACUCUCACCUUCAUGUCCUCCAGGAGAGCCUGUGGAUCCUCAAUGCCUUCUGGAACACACUUCUUGUUCUCUGGGAGAGAUUCAAGCUUUUCCACCAGGGCUUUUAAACCCUUCAGUUCAAAUUCUGUGAGGUACCUCAUUACUGUGGCUUUUUGUUUUCUCCCUGCACCCUCCUUUCCUUCUGAAUGUGUGCUGUUGGGUGAGGAGGAGCCAUCCACCAGGGAUUUGGAGUUCUUAUCCAAGCUGUCAUCCUUUUCCUCCCGGAUAUGAGCAUCACAAGAUUCUUCAUCCAUGUCUAACCACGAAUCCGAUGAAUAGCUGUCUAUGCUGCGUUUUCUCUUUGCAUCUGAAAGUUAGAAAAGGAAUGCUGAAUCUUUACCCGAUAUAAUUUAUAGUUUAACACUUCUAUGACUGGGACUAGGAGCUGCCUAUUUAAAAGGACACUGGAUAAUGCCUAGUCAGUAUGUGAUAAGAAUGAGCU
rnacentral:lncRNA from 7 species